rnacentral:rRNA from 1 species
GAUGGUAGUGUAUUGGACUACCGUGGCAUUAACGGGUAACGGAGAAUUAGGGUUCGAUUCCGGAGAGGGAGCCUGAGAAACGGCUACCACAUCCAAGGAAGGCAGCAGGCGCGCAGAUUACCCAAUCCCGACACGGGGAGGUAGUGACAAAAAAUAACAAUACUGGGCAUUUAUGUCUGGUAAUUGGAAUGAGUACAAUUUAAAUCCCUUAACGAGGAUCAAUUGGAGGGCAAGUCUGGUGCCAGCAGCCGCGGUAAUA